GACGAACGCUGGCGGCGUGCCUAAUACAUGCAAGUCGAGCGGACGAAUCGAAAGCUUGCUUUUGAUUCGUUAGCGGCGGACGGGUGAGUAACACGUGGGCAACCUGCCCUGUAGACGGGGAUAACACCGAGAAAUCGGUGCUAAUACCGGAUGACACGAAAUGUCGCAUGACGUUUCGUUGAAAGACGGCGCAAGCUGUCGCUACAGGAUGGGCCCGCGGCGCAUUAGCUAGUUGGUGAGGUAACGGCUCACCAAGGCGACGAUGCGUAGCCGACCUGAGAGGGUGAUCGGCCACACUGGGACUGAGACACGGCCCAGACUCCUACGGGAGGCAGCAGUAGGGAAUCUUCCGCAAUGGACGAAAGUCUGACGGAGCAACGCCGCGUGAGCGAAGAAGGCCUUCGGGUCGUAAAGCUCUGUUGUUAGGGAAGAACAAGUAACGCAGUAACUGGCGUUACCGUGACGGUACCUAACGAGAAAGCCACGGCUAACUACGUG
rnacentral:rRNA from 1 species